AACGAACGCUGGCGGCAGGCUUAACACAUGCAAGUCGAGCGCCCCGCAAGGGGAGCGGCAGACGGGUGAGUAACGCGUGGGAAUCUACCCUUUUCUACGGGAUAACGCAGGGAAACUUGUGCUAAUACCGUAUAAGCCCUUCGGGGGAAAGAUUUAUCGGGAAAGGAUGAGCCCGCGUUGGAUUAGCUAGUUGGUGGGGUAAAGGCCUACCAAGGCGACGAUCCAUAGCUGGUCUGAGAGGAUGAUCAGCCACAUUGGGACUGAGACACGGCCCAAACUCCUACGGGAGGCAGCAGUGGGGAAUAUUGGACAAUGGGCGCAAGCCUGAUCCAGCCAUGCCGCGUGAGUGAUGAAGGCCCUAGGGUUGUAAAGCUCUUUCACCGGUGAAGAUAAUGACGGUAGCCGGAGAAGAAGCCCCGGCUAACUUCGUGCCAGCCGCCGCAGUAACAC
rnacentral:rRNA from 1 species